AUUGAACGCUGGCGGCAUGCUUUACACAUGCAAGUCGGACGGCAGCACAGAGAAGCUUGCUUCUUGGGUGGCGAGUGGCGAACGGGUGAGUAAUAUAUCGGAACGUACCGAGUAAUGGGGGAUAACUAAUCGAAAGAUUAGCUAAUACCGCAUAUUCUCUGAGGAGGAAAGCAGGGGAUCUUCGGGCCUUGCGUUAUUCGAGCGGCCGAUAUCUGAUUAGCUAGUUGGUGGGGUAAAGGCCUACCAAGGCGACGAUCAGUAGCGGGUCUGAGAGGAUGAUCCGCCACACUGGGACUGAGACACGGCCCAGACUCCUACGGGAGGCAGCAGUGGGGAAUUUUGGACAAUGGGCGCAAGCCUGAUCCAGCCAUGCCGCGUGUCUGAAGAAGGCCUUCGGGUUGUAAAGGACUUUUGUCAGGGAAGAAAAGGCUGUUGCUAAUAUCGACAGCUGAUGACGGUACCUGAAGAAUAAGCACCGGCUAACUACGUG
rnacentral:rRNA from 1 species